UGGAAUGCAUCAUUGUUUUAGAGGACACCAAAUUAUUCAGAAUGGUGGUUUAUAUCAAAUUGACCUGAAAUUGACUUCUCUUUGCAAGAUAAACUGACAGCUAAAUUGAAAUGAAAUCAUGGAAGGGAAGUACUAAUACCACUCUAUAAAGCCUUAGUAAAACCACACCUAGAG